UAAGGUUUUGAAUUUUUGUUUAUUCGUGGAAUUUGGGAAGGUUUAUGGGAUUUUGGGGUUCGGAUUCAUGGAGAGUAGGUUAAAUGGAAGAAGUGGUAAAAUUUUGGGGUGAUUUGGUGGUGGACCGCUGCCGGUGGGCGAUUUCCGGCGGUGGAGAUGAGUGGCGAUGGACGGUGGUGAUAGAUAAGAGGAGGAGAGAAGAGAAGAUGACUAGGG
rnacentral:lncRNA from 1 species